rnacentral:misc_RNA from 1 species
CAGAGCGUGAGACUCUGCCCGGGUUCGCCCCGCGCGCAGAGUUGACCCUCCACCCGUGUCGACGUAUCUCUUGUUGCUUUGGCGGGCCCGGUGCCGCGCGCGCCCCCCGGCGCUCCGCUGGGUUGUGUCCGCCAGAGACCCCCCUUAACUCGUGUUGUCGUGUCGUCUGAGGAAAAAUAUGUGAAUUGUUA